rnacentral:rRNA from 1 species
CACACCGCCCGUCACACCAUGGGAGUUGGUCACCGAAGGCGUUGCGCUAACUCGCAAGAGAGGCAGGCGACCACGGUGGGCUUAGCGACUGGGGUG